CAAACCAUAGUAAACCUGCUACUACUAGGGUUUUUCGAAAAAAGAUGAGGGGUAGCCACAUGAUGAUCGUCUGCCUCGUUCUUCUAGUGUUAGCUUCAGGUACGGCGACAGCAUCGACAAUGCAAGGCGGAUCUCUAACCGGAACAAACUGCAUAGUCAAAACCCCUAUGCCUUGUGAUCAGAUCAAGAGAUGUGUAGAUAUGUGCAACUCCUUGUCUCCGGUACGCGGCAAGCCUGAGAUUAGUUGUGUUGACAAAGAAUGCAGGUGCACGUUUUGUUGAAGUUCGACAUGAAUCUACAAAGAAGACAUUUAUUUCCUUGUUAUCGGAGCAGGGGCGAUCAUCGUGUGUGUGUGCGCGUGUGUGUUAGCAAUAUUUGGUACCAGAAUAUCAAAACAAUAAAUGGCAUGAAUUUUUUGAUUCCGCAUGGAACAUCAUGUAACCAGAUCGGUAGCAGAUUGUUGCUGGCUAAUCCAUAUGUGCGGACUUCGUGA